AUUGAACGCUGGCGGCAUGCCUUACACAUGCAAGUCGAACGGCAGCACGGGUGCUUGCACCUGGUGGCGAGUGGCGAACGGGUGAGUAAUACAUCGGAACAUGUCCUGUAGUAGGGGAUAGCCCGGCGAAAGCCGGAUUAAUACCGCAUACGAUCUACGGAUGAAAGCGGGGGACCUUCGGGCCUCGCGCUAUAGGGUUGGCCGAUAGCUGAUUAGCUAGUUGGUGGGGUAAAGGCCUACCAAGGCGACGAUCAGUAGCUGGUCUGAGAGGACGACCAGCCACACUGGGACUGAGACACGGCCCAGACUCCUACGGGAGGCAGCAGUGGGGAAUUUUGGACAAUGGGCGAAAGCCUGAUCCAGCAAUGCCGCGUGUGUGAAGAAGGCCUUCGGGUUGUAAAGCACUUUUGUCCGGAAAGAAAUCCUUGGCUCUAAUACAGUCGGGGGAUGACGGUACCGGAAGAAUAAGCACCGGCUAACUACGUG
rnacentral:rRNA from 1 species